UCAAUGCUCAGCUCAAAUGUCACUUCCCCUGAGAAGCAUUCCCUGAGGCUUCCCCUCCCCAUACACAUUAGAUCAGAUAAAGCUCUUGUAAUAUUAUUGCAGAACAUCCUAUUCUUUUGCUUCAGGGCCUUUAUCACAAUUGAUAAUUAUAUACUUCCUUUUACUUAUGGAAUUAAUUCCCAGUCUCUCUCUGUAGAUUACAUGCUGUGUCUGUUUCACUUGCCAUUGUAUCUCUAAUGCCUACUACAAGUGCCUGGCAGGCGGCAGACAUGACUGCUUGUGAAUGAAUGAAUGUUCUCAGUGAUUCUGUAAGGAUGAAGGUGAUGUAUAGUAGUAGAUAGUAGCUCUGCUCUGGAAGUCCAGAGUCUGAUUCACACCUGCAAGCCUUAUUGGUCAAUGACUACUGAUAUUCCAGCCACCCAAACAACUGCUUUCAGAGAAGCAUUAAUACCUGUGAAUAAAACAAAUCUACUCUUUUCGUAUGUUUGGUUCAGAACACUAGGGGAAUUUGAGAAGAAAUGAGCCAGCCCCCAAGCUGUCCUGGUUUCUUUUAUUAAGAAUAGGCCAUGAUUUGAGCACAUUCUACUACUUGUCUCACUUCUGCCUAUUGCUGGGGAUUACACAGGGAAAAGUGAGAGUCUGUGUGUUGGGACUCUGACUUGGCAGUGAGAUUUAACACAGAAAGACCCUGAAGAAAUAUGCUGACAAUGGGGUUUUAUCUCUUCAAUGCACUGGAGACAAAACCCCUGCUUUUAAAAACAACAUUCAUACAGAGCCAAGGAUGUCCCAGUGUCAACAGUCCUAACCCUUUCUCAGUCUGCCUAAGAGGUCGUUGGUUUCAGAUGGAUGAGCCAAGGACCUGCUACUUAGAGACUACUGUCUAGGUCAACCCAGCUGGCAUAAGUAAAUCACCUACUGUUUAUAGUAGGAGGCUGCAAGAUAACAGGAGAUGCAGACUAUUGAAGGCUACUGAUCUAUCUACGUAGACAGGCAAGAAAAAAACAACCGGAGAAGAAUUCCAUGACUACACAAAAAGAAGAGUGUGAUGGUAUGGAGACUAUUCCUGAACAGUGAAUUUCCCCUGCAUUAAGAAUGAGAUCCCUAUGAACUGGGAUCAUUCAGGAAGUCUUCUUGGAGAAGAAAAGUUUGAGCAUUUUGGGAAAAAAAGUUGGAUUGGCAAAGAGAGCUGAGCUGUCAGUAGCUGGGCCCAUAGUAAGUAGGCUGCCUGGAGCUGGGAGUUAUGCUAAAGGAGUUGUAAUUUGGGAUGCCUCUAAUUAACCAUUUUGGGAAAAACAUAAUAAAUCCCUUUGUAGCAUCUAUAAUAAACUGCCCAAUAUCUAGGUCGUGGGGAAAAAGUUUUAUUCUGCAUUUCACCUGGAUGGUGAUAACACCAGAUAAUCUCAGCAUCUUUCUGAUUCUCUUGCUAAUCCAGGAUUCUAAGUAAUAAUCACUUUGUUCUACAACCUGAAUCUAGCCCUUGUACUGUGCAGUUUUUUUUUUACAGUUAUUUUUCCUGUUGUCUGAAUCAAUCUCCAUGGAAACAUAAGUUUUAACCAGCUGUGUCCACUGAGGUAAAGAUGCAAUAAAAGGCACAGGGCAUACAUACCACAGCAGCAGUUACUUCCCACAGGGAACCAGAGAUUGGAAGUGAAGCUAAAACAUUUUCACUUACAAUAGCAUCUCUUUCAAGGUGAGCCAUUUCCCCAGGGAGAGUUUCUAGCUCUGAGCAAAGGCAGAACAAUAAAACAUCAAGGAUGUCUUUCUAAGGCUACAAACAGAGUAGCUAACACCUUGAAGUUGAUCUGCUUCUGAGUCCUUUAAAAGCCAGGACAGCAACAAAGUGCCCACACUACAUUUUCUAUAAGCUUGCUAAGCAUCUCUUUUCUUAAACCACAAAACCCUAGGUAUUUGUACAGAACAGGCAGAAAGGGAAGUCCUAGGAGAUCAGGACCCUGUCUCAGCAGGCAUCACUCCAGCCUAUCUUUUCCUGAGUGGUUUUCUGUACUUGUCUUCCAUCUUUUCCCUUCUGUCCCACUCUGGAAGUCACUAGUCUGUGCCUUCCUUACCUCCCAUGGUUUCUGCACCUUCAUUUCCAAAGGCAAGUGAAAACAGUGCCAGGCUGUGCACAUGGGUAACUCCAGGGACUUCUCCUCCUCCCAUUUCCCCUAAAGCAUUUGACAGUUAGACCUUGGAACUGAGUCCAGCAGCACUAGGUCAGAGUGAUGGCUAAAGCUAAAGGCAAACUGGAUUCUGUUCAGGAGGUUCUCCUUUGUCAUUUUUAUCUCCAGAUAGAAGACCUCUGUCUUCCCAGAAGAUUAAAUAAUAGAAAAGAAUAAUAGCCCAAGGUGGGUGAUUCUGCAAACAGGUGGGUGAGGUCUCUAGCUGAGUGAGGAGGUGUCUGUGGGUUGUGGGUUCUUCUUAUGAGCAGGGCUUGGAGGAAUUUGGUCUAUUUGUUGUGGUUUUCCCAGGGGGAAGUGGGGAAUGGCUGGGACUCUAAUGAUCAUUAUCAGAAGACUUUGGAUUAGGCCUCUGAAACAUUAAGAUGUGAAUCCUCUGGCAAUCCUGCUAAAAUGCAGAUCUCCUUUCAAUAGGUCUGGGAUGGAGCCUGCCUUUCUAUCAAGCUUCUGGUGAUGGGAUGUCGCUUGUCUCAUCCACAAUUUGAGUAGCAAGAGGGAACAUGAAGGAGAACCCAUCUCUGCUGCUUUUGAAGUGCAGUGGCUUUCACUUGGAAUGGAAAUCUUUAUAGGUGGCACCGGGGGCUGUGCAGAGACGACCAGGGAGAAAUUCCGGACUUCUCAUGUUCUGCCUCUGAGACAGACUGUGGUGGG